UCUUAUGGAUGAGCAGUGAAAGUGGUUUCUUGAGAUGGAUUCUGCUCCUGAUGAAGAUGCUGUGAA
rnacentral:pre_miRNA from 1 species